AGAGUUUGAUUCUGGCUCAGGACGAACGCUGGCGGCGCGCCUAACACAUGCAAGUCGAACGAGAGAGAGGGAGCUUGCUUCCUCAAUCGAGUGGCGAACGGGUGAGUAACGCGUGAGGAACCUGCCUCAAAGAGGGGGACAACAGUUGGAAACGACUGCUAAUACCGCAUAAGCCCACGACCCGGCAUCGGGUAGAGGGAAAAGGAGCAAUCCGCUUUGAGAUGGCCUCGCGUCCGAUUAGCUAGUUGGUGAGGUAACGGCCCACCAAGGCGACGAUCGGUAGCCGGACUGAGAGGUUGAACGGCCACAUUGGGACUGAGACACGGCCCAG
rnacentral:rRNA from 1 species